rnacentral:rRNA from 1 species
GAGUUUGAUCCUGGCUCAGAUUGAACGCUGGCGGCAUGCCUUACACAUGCAAGUCGAACGGCAGCAUGAUCUAGCUUGCUAGAUUGAUGGCGAGUGGCGAACGGGUGAGUAAUACAUCGGAACGUGCCCUGUAGUGGGGGAUAACUAGUCGAAAGAUUAGCUAAUACCGCAUACGACCUGAGGGUGAAAGUGGGGGACCGCAAGGCCUCAUGCUAUAGGAGCGGCCGAUGUCUGAUUAGCUAGUUGGUGGGGUAAAGGCCCACCAAGGCGACGAUCAGUAGCUGGUCUGAGAGGACGAUCAGCCACACUGGGACUGAGACACGGCCCAGACUCCUACGGGAGGCAGCAGUGGGGAAUUUUGGACAAUGGGCGAAAGCCUGAUCCAGCAAUGCCGCGUGUGUGAAGAAGGCCUCGGUU